CAGACCUCUGAUCAGGGAAGACUACCCGCUGAGUUUAAGCAUAUCACUAAGCGGAGGAGAAGAAACUAACCAGGAUUUCCCUAGUAACGGCGAGCGAACCGGAA
rnacentral:rRNA from 3 species